GAUGAACGCUGGCGGCGUGCCUAAUACAUGCAAGUCGAGCGAACGGACGAGAAGCUUGCUUCUCUGUUGUUAGCGGCGGACGGGUGAGUAACACGUGGAUAACCUACCUAUAAGACUGGGAUAACUUCGGGAAACCGUAGCUAAUACCGUAUAAUAUUUUGAACCGCAUGGUUCAAAAGUGAAAGACGGUCUUGCUGUCACUUAUAGAUGGAUCCGGGCUGCAUUAGAUAGUUGGUAAGGUAACGGCUUACCAAGGCAACGAUGCAUAGACGACCUGUGAGGGUGGUAGGCGACAUGGGAAAGGAGACACGGUCAAGAGGACUAAGGGAGGCAGCAGUAGGGAAUGGUAGGCAAUGGGCGAAAGCAUGACGGAGCAAGGCGGCGUGAGAGAUGAAGGUCUUGGGAGCGGAAAACUGGGUUAUUAGGGAAGAACAGAUGUGUAAGUAACUGUGCACAGCUUGACGGUAACUAAUCAGAAAGCAACGGCUAACUACGUG
rnacentral:rRNA from 1 species